GAUGAAUGCUGGCGGCGUGCCUAACACAUGCAAGUCGAGCGGCAGCGAGUUUUACACUGAAUUCUGGAAGCUUCUGAGUAGUACAGAAGAUUUAUUCAAGAGUUUUGUGUAAAAUGUCGGCGAGCGGCGGACGGCUGAGUAACGCGUAGGAAUUUGCCCCAAAGUGAGGAAUAACUGCCCGAAAGGGUAGCUAAUGCCGCAUAUGGUCUUCGGAUUAAAGCCUUCGGGCGCUUUGGGAGAAGCCCGCGUUGGAUUAGGUAGUUGGUAGGGUAAUGGCCUACCAAGCCGACGAUCCAUAGCUGGUCUGAGAGGAUGAUCAGCCAGACUGGAACUGAGACACGGUCCAGACUCCUACGGGAAGCAGCAGUGAGGAAUCUUCCACAAUGGGCGAAAGCCUGAUGGAGCAACGCCGCGUGAAGGAUGAAGGCCUUCGGGUUGUAAACUUCUUUUAUGAGUGAAGAAUAUGACGGUAACUCAUGAAUAAGCACCGGCUAACUACGUG
rnacentral:rRNA from 1 species